rnacentral:rRNA from 1 species
UCUGAGACAGGUGCUGCAUGGCUGUCGUCAGCUCGUGUUGUGAAAUGUUGGGUUAAGUCCCGCAACGAGCGCAACCCUUAUCCUUUGUUGCCAGCGGUUCGGCCGGGAACUCAAAGGAGACUGCCAGUGAUAAACUGGAGGAAGGUGGGGAUGACGUCAAGUCAUCAUGGCCCUUACGAGUAGGGCUACACACGUGCUACAAUGGCAUAUACAAAGAGAAGCGACCUCGCGAGAGCAAGCGGACCUCAUAAAGUAUGUCGUAGUCCGGAUUGGAGUCUGCAACUCGACUCCAUGAAGUCGGAAUCGCUAGUAAUCGUAGAUCAGAAUGCUACGGUGAAUACGUUCCCGGGUCU